UUUGGAUUAGUCAAGAGGUUAAGACGCAACUGUAAUAAGGUUGUUACAUCGGUUCGAAUCCGAUAUCCAAACA
rnacentral:tRNA from 1 species